rnacentral:lncRNA from 1 species
GAUGGCGUUUAGCAGUGGCACCCAAUCUUUAUUCUUAAAACCCGAAGGUGUUCUUCACUUUUCAGGGGGAUUGAUUGAUGAUACUUGUUGAUUAAUCCAUGAAGAAUACCAAUACAUGGAUAAUUGGAGGGUAAUACAAGUAUAAAACUGUAAUUCCUCAUGGCAUUUUCAUUCACGCAUACGCGGCAGUUCGUGAGCAGACGAACCAUUGAAAGGGCCUUGCGCAGUCUAGCUGCAUCCAGCCAGAUACUAGUAGAACCCAAAACAUUGUUUUGACAAGUACUGUCAUAUUUCGGUUGCAGGUUUUCAUUAAAUACCAAGAGGAGAAACUAGAUGGCGUUUAUGUGCGUCUAUGAUAAAUAUUAAGAGUGACAAGUUAAAUUGGUGCUUGUUACGUUUCUACCCUGUUUAGUGUUUCAAAUGAUUUUUCAUCAAAUAUUAACGGUACACUCAAUUGUUGUUUGAAGGUGGAUUAUCACCAGACAUCUUUUGAAUGGUACGCCCACUAUCAGCAGCCUUACAGUGUGCUUCAUAAAUACAUCAACCCCUGAGAUAACAUUAUCGUUGGAAAUUGUGUUUUUGUUCUCCACUUUUAUUAUCCACAUGGAAUUUUCACACUACUUCAUUACCUUCAUGGAAAAUCAGGUGUGAUAUUUUAUCGUUCUGGAAAAAGGAUUAGAAUACUUUUUUUUUUCCAGAAUUUCCAAAACUGGGAAUUGUCCAAAGAUUUGUUAAAGCUGAUAAAUGUCAAAAGGCACGCUCUGAGUAGAAAGGAAACACGGUUUGCCUUACAAUUUUAUCAUCCUGGAAAAAGGAUUCUGGAAAUUGAUGAGUUCUAAUAUACAGCUGGUUUUCAGGUUUAUUUUUACAUGUACCAAAUAGAUCUGCAUUAAUGUUGUUUUGCUUUCACACAAGCAGAUAACAAGUUUAAUAUAUUUACAUUUCAGAAUGAGCUUCCGAUUUGAAGUUGUGAGUGUUUUAUCGAAUUAUGGAUUCCUACUUUGAAAACAAAAUUAUUUGCUUCUACAAAUGGUUUUUGAAGUAUGAUCUUCGCGAAGCCUUUAACUAACGUUAUACUAAAAAAUUCUCAUGGGAGGAAGUUCUUUCAGGAUCUGUUAUCGACCAUCUAUGUUAUGCAGUAAUUGGAUCUGCAGUUUAGUUAGAAACUUUAACUUAGAAAUGUGCUCAGCAUAGAAUUUAUAUAAAAAAAGAUAUUUAAUUGGAAAAAGUUCCUGGUUGAGACGAGAUAAAAAAAAUUGUACUGUUUA